AUUGAACGCUGGCGGCAGGCCUAACACAUGCAAGUCGAGCGGAUGAAGGGAGCUUGCUCCUGGAUUCAGCGGCGGACGGGUGAGUAAUGCCUAGGAAUCUGCCUGGUAGUGGGGGAUAACGUCCGGAAACGGGCGCUAAUACCGCAUACGUCCUGAGGGAGAAAGUGGGGGAUCUUCGGACCUCACGCUAUCAGAUGAGCCUAGGUCGGAUUAGCUAGUUGGUGGGGUAAAGGCCUACCAAGGCGACGAUCCGUAACUGGUCUGAGAGGAUGAUCAGUCACACUGGAGCUGAGACACGGUCCAGACUCCUACGGGAGGCAGCAGUGGGGAAUAUUGGAAAAUGGGCGAAAGCCUGAUCCAGCCAUGCCGCGUGUGUGAAGAAGGUCUUCGGAUUGUAAAGCACUUUAAGUUGGGAGGAAGGGCAGUAAGUUAAUACCUUGCUGUUUUGACGUUACCAACAGAGUAAGCACCGGCUAACUUCGUG
rnacentral:rRNA from 1 species